rnacentral:rRNA from 1 species
UACGUAGGCAGCAAGCGUUGUUCGGAUUCACUGGGCGUAAAGGGUGCGUAGGUGGUGGGGUAAGUCGGAUGUGAAAUCUCCGAGCUCAACUCCGGAAAUUGCAUUGGAAACUACCCUGCUUGAGGGUCGGAGGGGGGACUGGAAUUCUCGGUGUAGCAGUGAAAUGCGUAGAUAUCGAGAGGAACACCAGUGGCGAAGGCGAGUCCCUGGACGACUCCUGACACUGAGGCACGAAAGCUAGGGGAGCAAACAGG